AGAGUUUGAUCCUGGCUCAGGAUGAGCGCUAGCGGUGUGCCUUAGGUAUGCAAGUCGAGCGCCCCGCCGUAAGGCGGGGAGCGGCGAACGGGUGAGUAAUGCGUAGGAAUCUACCCCCGCCACGAGCAUAACCAGCCGAAAGGUUGGCUAAUUCUCGAUGGCAUUAUCGGCUUAAUAAGCUUGAUAAUUAAAGAGCGUAACUGCUCAGGCGGGGAGGGGCCUACGUCCUAUCAGCUUGUUGGUGGGGUAAUGGCCUACCAAAGCAAUGACGGGUAGCUGGACUGAGAGGUUGGUCAGCCACAAGGAGACUGAGACACGGCUCCUACACCUACGGGUGGCAGCAAUCAGGAAUAUUGCGCAAUGGGCGAAAGCCUGACGCAGCGACACCGCGUGGAGGAUGAAGGCCUUCGGGUCGUAAACUUCUUUUGACCCGCAUAACGCGGGUAGAAUAAACACCUACAAACUACGUGCCAGCAGUCGUGGUAAUACGUAGGGUGUAAGCGCCAUCCGGAUUUAUUGGGCGUAAAGUGUUUCGUAGGCGGUUUUUAAAGUCCGAGCUUAAAAACUGAGGCUCAACCUCAGAUGCAGGCUUGGAAACUAAAAGACUAGAGGGAAAGAGAGGAUGCUGGAAUUUGCGGUGAAGCAGUGAAAUGCGUUGAUAUCGCAAAGAACACCGAGGGCGAAGGCAAGCAUCUGGAUUUCAUCUGACGCUGAGGAACGAUAGCUAGGGGAGCGAAAGGGAUUAGAGACCCCUGUAGUCCUAGCCGUAAACGAUGUCUGCUAGAUGUUCCGGCUUAGCCGGAGUGUCGUAAGCUAACGCGUUGAGCAGACCGCCUGGGGAGUACGGCCGCAAGGUUGAAACUCAAAGGAAUUGACGGGAAGGCGCACAACCAGUGGAGCGUGUGGUUUAAUUCGAGACAAAACGAAAGACCUUACCUGGGCUUGACAUCCGGCCGUUUUAUCCCGAUGGAGACAUUGGGAGAUUCGUAAGAAAGGUUGGACAGCUGCUGCAUGGCUGUCGUCAGCUCUAGGCGUGAGCUGUAGGCUUAAGUGCCUCAUAGAGCGCAACCCCCACCCUGUGUUAAAUUUUCUCACCGGGAACCGCUCCGACCAUACGUUGGAGAGGAAGGAGGGGAUGACGUCAAGUCAGCACGGCGCUUAUGUCCAGGGCAACACACACACUACAAUGGACAAGGACAACGGGUAGCGAGCGGGCAACCGUAAGCAAAUCUCUGAAACUUGUCCUCAGUUGGGAUUGAGGGCUGAAAUUCGCCCUCAUGAACCCGGAAUUGGUAGUAAUCGCGGAUCAGCAUGUCGCGGUGAAUGCGUUCUCGCCUUUUGUACACACUGCCCGUCAAAUCAACAAAGUCAGGGGUGCCCAAAGUCCCGCCUUAGGCGGGAUUAAGGCAAACUUGGCGAUGGGGGUUAAGUCGUAACAAGGUAAGC
rnacentral:rRNA from 1 species